rnacentral:piRNA from 1 species
UAAAGAGGAGUUGAGGAUCGAGAAGA